rnacentral:lncRNA from 1 species
AUGAGACAGAGAGAGGUAGAGGAACCUGGACAUCUGUAUGAGACAGAGAGAGGAAGAGGAACCUGGACAUCUGUAUCAAGACAGAGAGAGGAAGAGGAACCUGGACAUCUCUAUCAGGACAGAGAGAGGAAGAGUAACCUGGACAUCUGUAUCAGGACAGAGAGAGGAAGAGGAACCUUAACAUCUGUAUCAGACAGAGUGAGGAAGAGGAACCUUGUCAUCUGUAUCAGGACAGAGAGAGGAAGAGGAACCUGUACAUCUGUAUCAGGACAGAGAAAGGAAGAGGAACCUGGACAUCUGUAUCAGACAGAGAGAGGUAGAGGAACCUGGACAUCUGUAUCAGACAGAAAGAGGAAGAGGAACCUGGACAUCUGUAUCAGGACAGUGAGAGGAAGAGGAACCUGGACAUCUUUAUCAGAACAGAGAGAGGAAGAGGAACCUGGACAUCUGUACCAGACACAGAGAGGAAGAGGAGCCUGGACAUAUGUAUGAGACAGAGAGAGGUAGAGGAAUCUGGACAUCUGUAUCAGACAGAGAGAGGUAGAGGUACCUGGUCAUCUGUAUCUGGACAGAGAGAGGUAGAGGAACCUGGAAAUCUGUAUCAGACAGAGAGAGGAAGAGGAACCUGGACAUCUGUAUCAGGACAGAGAGAGGUAGAGGAACCUGGACAUCUGUACCAGGACAGAGAGAGGUAGAGGAACCUGGACAUCUGUAUCAACACAGAGAGAGGUAGUGGAACCUGAACAUCUGUAUCAGGACAGAGAGAG